AAACAACCAAGGGAAUUUGGAUUGCAAGAUGUAUUGGCAUUGAGCCUUUCACAAUUGCAGUGGAUUUGGAAGGAACUGAUGGGAGGGAAAGGGGUGAGGAUGACACUGCAUUCGAGAAACAAAGUGCCCUCUUUGCUUUGGCAAUUGCGGACGUUGUACUUAUAAACAUGUGGUGCCAUGACAUUGGUAGGGAACAGGCUGCCAACAAACCCCUUCUAAAAACAGUUUUUCAGGUCAUGAUGCAUUUGUUCAGCCCUCGCAAAACAACAUUAAUGUUUGUUAUACGUGAUAAAACAAAGACACCACUUGAACAUCUGGAGCCUAUUCUAAGGGAAGAUAUUCAGAAGAUAUGGGAUGCUGU
rnacentral:misc_RNA from 1 species